GUGCGUUUAAGUGGCUUCAGGUGGAUUUGGGGUGUUUCGGUGGAUUUUGGGCUGUAGCUGAACACCAGCCCCCCCUGGAAUGAUGCCAUCCAGGACCAAUCUCUCCGCUGGGAUCCCCAGCAGCAAAGUCAAAUAUUCCAAACUCUCCAGCACCGACGAUGGAUACAUUGACCUGCAGUUCAAGAAGAGCCCACCCAAAAUCCCCUACAAGGCCAUCGCACUGGCUGUGGUGCUCUUCAUGAUCGGGACCUUCCUCAUCAUCAUCGGAGCCCUGCUGCUGGCAGGGUACAUCAGCAAAGGGGAGACCGAGCGCGCCAUCCCCGUGCUCAUCAUCGGCAUCCUGGUGUUCCUGCCCGGCUUCUACCACCUGCGCAUCGCCUACUACGCCUCCAAGGGCUACCGGGGCUACUCCUACGACGACAUCCCCGACUUCGACGACUGAACUGUUCAUUAACCCCGCUCUAAUUAGGCUGCUCACAGCUGGUAGUUCCCCCGGGUGCUGGCGGGGCACGGCUGAGCGUCCCUGGGCGGCGCCGAGUCCCGGCCUCGAGGUGUUGCAGGUUCUCCAGUUUGGGGGUUCCAGCCUGGAAUUGAUCAAAAGGAAUUGAAAAGAACUUGGGAUUUAUGGCAUUUUUUGUUUUCCUCCCAGGAUUUUUUCUGCCCUCGAGGUGUUGCAGGUUCUCCAGUUUGGGGUUUGGGGGUUCCAGCCUGGAAUUGACCAAAAGGAAUUGAAAAGAACUUGGGAUUUAUGGGAUUUGUUUUUUUCCUCCCGGGAUUUUUUCCGGCCUCGAGGUGUUGCAGGUUCUCCAGUUUGGGGUUGGGGGGUUCCAGCCUGGAAAUGACCAAAAGGAAUUGAAAAGAACUUGGGAUUUAUGGGAUUUUUUCCUCUCAGGGUUGCAUAAUUCCGCUCUUGCUGGGCGAGGCAAUCCUUGCAAUUUUCCAAAAAUAGAUGAGCUGGUUUCAGCUGCAGAUAUUUGUUUUUUCUCUAAGUGUUUUCUAGAAUUUAUUUUAGCUUUCCAUGAGACUGUGGUUAUUGUUGGGUUACCUUUGCACAUAGACCAUCAUUAAAUUCUCCUUUUGCUCUCUGUCCAUCAGAAAUGCUUCCAAACCAGUGGUCCUGCAGUAAAUAAAGUGAUGAGAGGGAAAGCAGCAGCUGCAGGAAGGGAUUUCCACCUCCACAGCUCCCUGUCAGCCUGGCCAAGCUCACUUCCCCACAAACAAACUCCUCCUCCCCGAGCCAGCCUUCCCCGUGCCACUGUUGCUGUUGGCAAAAGCUGCUUAUCCUUCACAGGGACUGGUGCUGGAGUUUGCUUGUCAUUUAAACAACCAAAUGGAUAAUACUGGGAGAGGGAUUGGAACCCAGACUCCAGUGUCCAAAUACCAAACAUCUUGGGCUUGACUGGUGUGGGUGUUGGAGCCACUUGAACUCCAGCUGUCUGUCUUCUGGAGUCCUUUUGUCCCUGUGUAGAUGAUUUGCUGUGCAGACCUGCCCAGGCCAGUGAAGAGAAGUUCUCUGUGUAGUUUGUGCUGACCAAAGCCCCUCUGGAUUGCUUUGCCAGCUUUGCUGAUGUGGCAUUCAGGGAGAGCAGAGUGAUGGCUCCACUUCUGUGAGGUCAGACCAGGCUGUGUCCUGGACAACGAGCAGCCAUGCAAGUGGAUGCAUUUAACAUGAAUAAAGUUCUGUAUUCUCUGUAA